rnacentral:lncRNA from 1 species
CGUGUGUGUUGGGGGCACAUGAGGACAUGCAUGGCAUGGCAUACGUGUGGAGGUCAGACGACAACUUGCAGGGGACACUUCUCUCCUUUGGGUCCCAGGAAUGAGGUUCUGGUGGUGAAUCUCGGCAGUAAGUGAUUUUACCUGCUGGGCCAUCUCACAGUCCCAAACAUCUAUCCUGCUUUCUAGCUCAUGUCUCCUGUAACCUCUUCUUCUGGAGUCUUCCUCUUCUGACCCGUAUGCCCUUUUGCCCACUCUGUAUCUCCUUCUUCACCCAAUAUUACCCUCUCUUGGCUCUCUUUUCUACGUUUUUAAGACUUCUCGAACAUUGUUUACCUAUGCACAGGUGUGUAUUGCAGGCUAAGACCUGCGUAUGAGGGAGUGCGUCUGGUUUUUUUUAUCAUCCUGAAUUUGGGCUACCUCACUUGAUGCUUUCCAAAUCUGUCCAUUUUCCUGUGUUCGUUUUCUAUGACGGCUGAAUAAUAUUCCACUGUGUAUGUAGGUAUCACAUCUUCGUGGCUGCUUGUCUGUUGAUGGCCAUCCUGGUUGAUCCCAUCUCCUCGCUGUUCUGAAUAGGGCAACGGUAGCACUGGUUGUCCAAGUGUCUCUGUGGGGACAUAGGGAGUCCUUUGGAUUUAUGCCCAGGAGGGGCCUCGCUGGGUCAUACGGUAGAUCUACUUUUAAUGUCUAGAGGAACCUCCCGGGCCUUACUGUGGCCCCGCCUCUUCUCUUCUAUGUCAGCCUUGCUCUGUUAACAAGCAGGUCUUCCUCUGACUUGGUCCAUUCGUGCUUGUGGCAUGAUGCUGCUCUUCCUCUAUUCAAGUGGUCGAGCCACUUUAAAGGCAGAUGUUGGAGCAUAAACAGAUGAGGUGCUCAUGUGAUCAAGACGUGGAAGGGUAGACCCUGGGCGCAAGCCCCGAGACACUCCACUCAUAGAAAAGUUCCAUGUGCGUGGCUCUUUGGGAACCUUUUUUUUUUGGGGGGGGGAACCCCCUGUGGUUGACUUUCUGACUAUGUGCCAGCCAGAGUCCCUCAACUGAGCAGCUUCAAAUACUUUCCCUUUGGCGGGCUGUACUGAUUAAGAUUAAUGGCCGCACGCAAGUUGCUCUGCUGAAAUAUGAUGAUUCGGCGCUCUCCACACCUCCCUGCUGCCUAAAGAUGGUUUUAAAUUUGGUAGUUUUUAAAUUUGGCAGGCUUUCCUUUCUUUCUUAAUUCCUGAGGGUUUUGAAAAGUAACGCAUUCUCUCAGCGCAGGCCGGUCAGCCUCUCAUCAGCACCAGGCAGCACAGUGAACAUGGUCCGAAGGGCCUGCCAUCAGCCCCUAAGAUGACGUAGCAGCUCUGACCUGAGCAUAAAGGAGAUGAGGGUUGGAGGCCCCUAAAUGUGUCUCCAUCAUCCGUGCCCCUGGAGUCAGGGUAGCAAGAUAGCAUUUCCAAACAAAGGGACUUGUCUGAAUAAGGAGAGUGACACGCGGUUGAAGUCUUGGUGUUCUCUGAGAAGAAAAGGAUGUUUUAAAAAAGGCUAAGCCACAGAAUUUCACUGGAGUGGUUGAUGGAGGUGGCGGUGCUAACAAAGAGCGCGCUGAUUUAAAGGACUAUAUUCUCAGUACAGUUGAUUUUAUCCAGCAAAGCCAAGACACAGCAUUUUCUGGAAAUAGGUCAAAUUCUGCAUGUUUUGUAUACAUAGCAUGCCUCACUAGAGGGCGCUAUUUAGUUGUGUAUUUAACAUUUUCUUUUUUUCCUUUCUUUUUUCUUUCUUUCUUUCUUUCUUUUUUUUUUUUUUUACAAAAAUAAUAAAAAUGACGAUGGCCCAGGCUAUGAAUUCUGAUACAAUUCUUGUUGAACAUGUUAUGAGAAUUCCUCCCAGACACUGUUUUAUUUUUCAGUUUCUAUGUGUGAAAUUCCAUUUUAGGAAGUAUAACAUGACCCCGAAUCUGUCAGCACCUGUGAAGUCCCGCUGGCAUGCCGGCAUGACAGAGAUCCUUUGUGAAGAGACAAAGAGAGACCGUGUGGUCUGGGGACAAGCCUCUGUCCAGUUUUCCAAGGACUUUUGUCAUCUGAAAUUGUUUUCAGGACAGUCUUUCAAUUGGCUUUCCAGGAGGCUGAUUCUGCAGUUCACACCGCAGGCAAUAACUCUGACCGCCACCCCCCAGCCCCACUCAGUGUUAGUCUAGCAGCUUUGCCUUUCUCUUUAGACCCAACUCAGACCCUGCCAUAUGGAUACACUGUUUAAAAGAGUGUACCAAGAUGCACCACCUCCCCCCACCCCCAGAAAGCAAAUGGUAUCUCCCUAUUGUCAGAAAAUAACACAACUCACAUCAAUGACCUUUCUUCUCCUCCCUCCUUCUCUCCCUCCCUCCCCUUCCUACCCCUCUCUCUAUUCCUCCCUCCUUUCCUCUGUUUUGCCUUCCUUCCCUUCCUUCUAACCCCCCCC